UGAGGUAAGCUAUGAAAAUGCAAAGGCAUAAGAAUAAGCUAAUGCCGCAGGGUUCUGAACCCCUGGAUGGCCUAUUAGAAAACGGCCACAGACAGCAGCAUUUCCUCUUGGGCUCCACCUCUUGUGAAAUCAGCAGAGGCUACCCAGUUGAUCCUGCCAGAAGCAUAGAGA